rnacentral:rRNA from 1 species
UACGUAGGGGGCAAGCGUUAUCCGGAUUUACUGGGUGUAAAGGGAGCGUAGACGGCCAGACAAGUCUGAAGUGAAAAUCCAGCGCUUAACGUUGGAAGUGCUUUGGAAACUGCCGGGCUAGAGUGCAGGAGGGGCAGGCGGAAUUCCUAGUGUAGCGGUGAAAUGCGUAGAUAUUAGGAGGAACACCAGUGGCGAAGGCGGCCUGCUGGACUGCAACUGACGUUGGGGCUCGAAGGCGUGGGGAGCAAACAGG